rnacentral:rRNA from 1 species
UACAGGGGGUGCAAACGUUGCUCGGAAUUAUUGGGCGUAAAGCGCGCAGGCGGUCGUUCAAGUCGAGUGUGAAAGCCCCCGGCUCAACUGGGGAGGGUCACUCGAUACUGAUCGACUCGAAGGCAGGAGAGGGUAGUGGAAUUCCCGGUGUAGUGGUGAAAUGCGUAGAUAUCGGGAGGAACACCAGUGGCGAAGGCGACUACCUGGCCUGUUUCUUGACGCUGAGGCGCGAAAGCUAGGGGAGCAAACGGG